AGAGUUUGAUCAUGGCUCAGAUUGAACGCUGGCGGCAGGCCUAACACAUGCAAGUCGAGCGGUAGCACAGAGAGCUUGCUCUCGGGUGACGAGCGGCGGACGGGUGAGUAAUGUCUGGGAAACUGCCUGAUGGAGGGGGAUAACUACUGGAAACGGUAGCUAAUACCGCAUAACGUCGCAAGACCAAAGUGGGGGACCUUCGGGCCUCAUGCCAUCAGAUGUGCCCAGAUGGGAUUAGCUAGUAGGUGGGGUAAUGGCUCACCUAGGCGACGAUCCCUAGCUGGUCUGAGAGGAUGACCAGCCACACUGGAACUGAGACACGGUCCAGACUCCUACGGGAGGCAGCAGUGGGGAAUAUUGCACAAUGGGCGCAAGCCUGAUGCAGCCAUGCCGCGUGUGUGAAGAAGGCCUUCGGGUUGUAAAGCACUUUCAGCGGGGAGGAAGGCGGUGAGGUUAAUAACCUCAUCGAUUGACGUUACCCGCAGAAGAAGCACCGGCUAACUCCGUGCCAGCAGCCGCGGUAAUACGGAGGGUGCAAGCGUUAAUCGGAAUUACUGGGCGUAAAGCGCACGCAGGCGGUCUGUCAAGUCGGAUGUGAAAUCCCCGGGCUCAACCUGGGAACUGCAUUCGAAACUGGCAGGCUAGAGUCUUGUAGAGGGGGGUAGAAUUCCAGGUGUAGCGGUGAAAUGCGUAGAGAUCUGGAGGAAUACCGGUGGCGAAGGCGGCCCCCUGGACAAAGACUGACGCUCAGGUGCGAAAGCGUGGGGAGCAAACAGGAUUAGAUACCCUGGUAGUCCACGCCGUAAACGAUGUCGAUUUGGAGGUUGUGCCCUUGAGGCGUGGCUUCCGGAGCUAACGCGUUAAAUCGACCGCCUGGGGAGUACGGCCGCAAGGUUAAAACUCAAAUGAAUUGACGGGGGCCCGCACAAGCGGUGGAGCAUGUGGUUUAAUUCGAUGCAACGCGAAGAACCUUACCUGGUCUUGACAUCCACAGAACUUUCCAGAGAUGGAUUGGUGCCUUCGGGAACUGUGAGACAGGUGCUGCAUGGCUGUCGUCAGCUCGUGUUGUGAAAUGUUGGGUUAAGUCCCGCAACGAGCGCAACCCUUAUCCUUUGUUGCCAGCGGUUAGGCCGGGAACUCAAAGGAGACUGCCAGUGAUAAACUGGAGGAAGGUGGGGAUGACGUCAAGUCAUCAUGGCCCUUACGACCAGGGCUACACACGUGCUACAAUGGCAUAUACAAAGAGAAGCGACCUCGCGAGAGCAAGCGGACCUCAUAAAGUAUGUCGUAGUCCGGAUUGGAGUCUGCAACUCGACUCCAUGAAGUCGGAAUCGCUAGUAAUCGUAGAUCAGAAUGCUACGGUGAAUACGUUCCCGGGCCUUGUACACACCGCCCGUCACACCAUGGGAGUGGGUUGCAAAAGAAGUAGGUAGCUUAACCUUCGGGAGGGCGCUUACCACUUUGUGAUUCAUGACUGGGGUGAAGUCGUAACAAGGUAACCGUAGGGGAACCUGCGGUUGGAUCACCU
rnacentral:rRNA from 2 species